GACGAACGCUGGCGGCGUGCUUAACACAUGCAAGUCGAGCGGUAAGGCUCCUUCGGGAGUACACGAGCGGCGAACGGGUGAGUAACACGUGAGUAAUCUGCCCUUCACUUCGGGAUAACCACCGGAAACGGUGGCUAAUACCGAAUACGACCAGUCUUCGCAUGAGGUGCUGGUGGAAAGUCUUUUCGGUGAAGGAUGUGCUCGCGGCCUAUCAGCUUGUUGGUGGGGUAAUGGCCUACCAAGGCUUCGACGGGUAGCCGGCCUGAGAGGGUGACCGGCCACACUGGGACUGAGACACGGCCCAGACUCCUACGGGAGGCAGCAGUGGGGAAUAUUGGACAAUGGGCGAAAGCAUGAUCCAGCAACGCCGCGUGAGGGAUGACGGCCUUCGGGUUGUAAACCUCUUUCAGUACCGACGAAGCGCCCUGUCGGGUGGUGACGGUAGGUAAAGAAGAAGGACCGGCCAACUACGUG
rnacentral:rRNA from 1 species